rnacentral:tRNA from 1 species
ACCUGAGUGGCUCAGUCGGUUGAGCAUCUGACCUUGGCUCAGGCUGAUCUCACAGUUUGUGAGUUCAAGUCCCACAUCGGGCU